GUGCUCACUUCGGCAGCACAUAUACUAAAAUUGGAACGAUACAGAGUAGAUUAGCAUGGCCCUUGCACAAGGAUGACACGCAAAUUCGUGAAGCCUUCCAUAUUUUU
ensembl:snRNA U6 U6 spliceosomal RNA